rnacentral:misc_RNA from 1 species
GACAAAAUGAAUAUUAAAGAUGCAAAUGAAGGUUCGUCGAUGCAGUUGGAUACAAAGGGAACUGUUGAAGAAAAGGAGAUUACUAAAUCAAUGGACAAACUAAAUAUUCAACAAUUACCAUCUGGACAAGCUGGAUCUUCAUUAUCAAAUUUCAAAAGAAAACCAGUUGUCAUUAUUGUUGUAGGAAUGGCAGGAAGUGGAAAAACAACAUUUCUUCAUAGGUUGGUUUGCCAUACACAAGCUGCAAAUAUACGUGGUUAUGUACUCAACCUUGAUCCUGCUGUGAUGACUCUUCCAUUCGGUGCAAACAUUGAUAUAAGGGACACUGUUCGAUAUAAGGAAGUCAUGAAGCAGUUUAAUCUUGGACCUAAUGGGGGAAUCCUAACUUCUUUAAAUUUGUUUGCUACAAAGUUCGAUGAGGUUAUUUCAACUAUAGAGAGGCGAGCAGAUCAACUUGAUUAUGUUCUAGUGGACACGCCUGGACAAAUUGAGAUUUUCACUUGGUCUGCUUCUGGAGCUAUCAUUACAGAAGCUUUUGCUUCAACCUUUCCAACUAUUAUUGCUUAUGUGGUUGAUACACCUCGUUCCUCAAGCCCAACUACUUUCAUGAGCAAUAUGCUUUAUGCUUGUAGCAUACUCUACAAGACACGUUUGCCACUCGUGUUGGCAUUUAACAAGAUAGAUGUGGCUCAACACCAGUUUGCUUUGGAGUGGAUGGAAGAUUUUGAAGCCUUCCAAGCAGCAGUCAGCGCCGAUCACUCAUAUACAUCCACAUUGACAGCAAGCCUUUCACUUGUACUUGAUGAAUUCUAUAAGAAUUUAAAAUCUGUUGGGGUCUCUGCUGUUUCUGGGGUUGGAAUGGAUGCCUUCUUUAAGGCUAUCGAAGCGAGUGCUGAGGAAUGGCUGAACUUGAUAAGAGACAGGCAGAGAAGCAACGCCUGGAGGAAGAUCGCCGGAGGGAGAACAUGGAAAAGUUAAGGAAAGAUAUGGAGAAAUCUGGAUGUGAAACUGUGGUCCUGAGCACUGGUUUGAAGGACAAACAAGCCGGGAGAGAUACUUUGAUGGAGGAGGAAGAUGAUGAUUUUGAGAGGUUUAGUGAAGAGGAAGAUGUUGUAGAUGAGGAUGAAGAUGAAGAGGUUGCCAGGUUCUCCUUUUAGUGCAGCUGUUUUAC